ACUCAAAUGAAUUGACGGGGGCCCGCACAAGCGGUGGAGCAUGUGGUUCAAUUCGACGCAACGCGAAGAACCUUACCCAGGCUUGAACAGCGAGUGACCACUCCUGAAAGGGAGCUUCCGCAAGGACACUCGUAGAGGUGCUGCAUGGCUGUCGUCAGCUCGUGUCGUGAGAUGUUGGGUUAAGUCCCGCAACGAGCGCAACCCUUGUCUUCUGUUGCCAUCAGGUUAUGCUGGGCACUCUGGAGAGACUGCCGGUGAUAAACCGGAGGAAGGUGGGGAUGACGUCAAGUCAGCAUGGCCUUUAUGUCUGGGGCUACACACGUGCUACAAUGGCCGGCACAAACCGUCGCGAGCCCGCAAGGGGGAGCUAAUCGGAGAAAGUCGGUCUCAGUUCGGAUCGUCGGCUGCAACUCGCCGGCGUGAAGUUGGAAUCGCUAGUAAUCGCGGAUCAGCACGCCGCGGUGAAUACGUUCCCGGGCCUUGUACACACCGCCCGU
rnacentral:rRNA from 1 species